rnacentral:rRNA from 1 species
UACGUAGGGUGCAAGCGUUGUCCGGAAUUAUUGGGCGUAAAGAGCUCGUAGGCGGUCAGUCGCGUCUGCUGUGAAAACUCGGGGCUUAACUCCGGGCCUGCAGUGGGUACGGGCUGACUAGAGUGCGGUAGGGGAGACUGGAAUUCCUGGUGUAGCGGUGAAAUGCGCAGAUAUCAGGAGGAACACCAGUGGCGAAAGCGCUCUACUGGGCCAUAACUGACACUGAGGGACGAAAGCUAGGGGAGCGAAAGGG